GACGAACGCUGGCGGUGCUUAACACAUGCACGUCGACCGGUAAGGCCCUUUCGGGGGUCCACGAGUGGCGAACGGGUGAGUAACACGUGAGUAACCUGCCCUCAUCUCUGGGAUAACAGUCGGAAACGGUUGCUAAUACUGGAUAUGAGCUUGCAAGGCAUCUUGUGGGUUGGAAAGAUUUUUUUUGGUUGGGGAUGGACUCGCGGCCUAUCAGCUUGUUGGUGAGGUAGUGGCUCACCAAGGCUUCGACGGGUAGCCGGCCUGAGAGGGCGACCGGCCACAUUGGGACUGAGAUACGGCCCAAACUCCUACGGGAGGCAGCAGUGGGGAAUAUUGCACAAUGGACGGAAGUCUGAUGCAGCAACGCCGCGUGCGGGAUGACGGCCUUCGGGUUGUAAACCGCUUUCAAUUGUGACGAAGCUUUUUUGUGACGGUAGCAGUAGAAGAAGCACCGGCUAACUACGUG
rnacentral:rRNA from 1 species